AUGCAUUUGGUAAUGAUGCUUCUAGUGAAGAAAACUUUGAAACAAGAAGCCUAUGUUGAACCAAAUGAUCCAACUGCGCCACCACCCCUUGAUGUUUUAUUUAAGUUAGAAAAAGUAAAAAAGCAAGAAACAUCAACAACUUCGUUUUGGGUUCUUCUUCUUCCAUCUAAUAAAAUUUGCAUCCAAAAAACCAAUCAAACUGUAAUUUACAUUCAGGGUUUCGUUCUCAAAGUUUCUUGUUAUUACAAAACCCUUCAACAGUUAGCAAGAACGAAACCCAAGGGAUUUUGA